rnacentral:lncRNA from 1 species
AUUAUUUUAUUACUUUAUUUAUUUUUGAGACAGUUUAGCUCUGUAGCCCAGGCUGGAGUGCAGUGGUGCAAUCUUGGCUCACUGCAAUCUCUGCCUCCUGGGUUCAAGUGAUUCUCCUGUCUCAGCCUCCCGAGUAGCUGGGACUACAGGUGCGCGCCACCAUGCCCAGCUAAUUUUUGAUUUUUAGUAGAAACGGGGUUUCACCAUGUUGGCCAGGCUGGUCUUGAACUCCUGACCUCAAGUGAUCCACCUGCUUCGGCCUCCCAAAGUGCUGGGAUUACAGGCGCGAGCCACUGCGUCCGGCCUGAAUUGCCACAUGAGUAUUUAUGCACACCCAAAACAAAAUGACCCGGAAAGGUAGAACAUAAGGCAGGUACGGUGAUAUUAACAUCAGACAAAAUAGAAGUGAAAACAACAAUGAUUACAUAGGACCUAGAAGAAUAUUCCAUCACUGAAAAAAAGAAUGGUCUGCCAAACGUAACUGUGUGACCAUCAGAAGUGUGUCCACAGAGGCUGGACUGCAUCAGGGCUCCCAGGGCAUCUCUCCUCACGUCUUGCCAUCAGAACUGGGUCACAUGGUUUGCCACCACUCACCCGCCUCUCCCCUGUCUGGGCAGACUGGUGGGCUCUGUGCCACUAAGAUGUUUACCUGAGACUAAAGCGGCAAGCGCAGACACGGAGCUGGAUCACGUCAGGAAGGACUGUGAGGUGCACAGAGGAUUGGACAGAUCCAGAACCACAGGGAGAACCUUUCACACGCAAUCUCAGAAUUUACAAGGUUGGCUCAACAUAACCAAGCAAGGACAUA